rnacentral:lncRNA from 1 species
GGGUCGAUGAUCUCCAUUGUUGAAAGACUGAUGGAGAGGAUCUUUGCUGGUUGCUCACAGCCACACAUGCAUCCGGUCUCUAUGAAAAAUCCACUUGAAGCCCCGAUCUGAUCGAUCUUCUCGGGAGUGCUGGCUUGUAUGAAGAUCUUCUUCUUGGCUAAUCUGGAUCUUUUCUUCAAAUCUUUGAAAUCUUUUUAGAAGU